GACGAACGCUGGCGGCGUGCUUAACACAUGCAAGUCGAACGAUGAACCCGGAGCUUGCUCUGGGGGAUUAGUGGCGAACGGGUGAGUAACACGUGAGUAACCUGCCCUGGACUCUGGGAUAAGCGUUGGAAACGACGUCUAAUACCGGAUAGGACCUUGGAUCGCAUGAUCUGGGGUGGAAAGUUUUUUCGGUCUGGGAUGGACUCGCGGCCUAUCAGCUUGUUGGUGAGGUAAUGGCUCACCAAGGCGUCGACGGGUAGCCGGCCUGAGAGGGUGACCGGCCACACUGGGACUGAGACACGGCCCAGACUCCUACGGGAGGCAGCAGUGGGGAAUAUUGCACAAUGGGCGAAAGCCUGAUGCAGCAACGCCGCGUGCGGGAUGACGGCCUUCGGGUUGUAAACCGCUUUUAGUAGGGGAGAAGGGCUUCGGCUUGACGGUACCUGCAGAAAAAGGACCGGCUAACUACGUG
rnacentral:rRNA from 1 species